AUGGUUCUGCAUAAUUCUGCAGAAGGGGAAGAACGAAGCAUUCGGCUGCAGAUUUCUGACCUUCAGAGGCUCAGCGAGACCGGCAGUGUAGGCAACACAAUGUUUCAGCCACAAACUAGUAUUGAGAAAAGAGAGAGCAACACUUCAGCUUCUGUUGGUCCAUUAACAAAGCCAACAGUUCGUGCACCUGAAAAGAAGCUGACCCUAUUCGCUCUCCGGCUAGCAGUUCUCGAGAAACAGCAACCGGCCUUGGAACUCUCGGAUUCAUAUGGGCCACAGUUGUUCUUCUAGGUGGUUUUGCCAUUACAUUAGACAAAACUGACUUUUGGUUCAUUACCAUCAUUUUGUUGAUUGAAGGGACCCGGAUUUUCAGCAGGAGUCAUGAGCUUGAGUGGCAGCAUCAAGCCACAUGGUCCAUCACUGAAUCUGGAAUCAACAGCUUUCGAGCAAUGAGAAUGAGCUCGAGCUUCAUAUUUGGGAGCAUCAAGGAGCUUUUCAAGCCUGUUCUUCCAGUCAGGAAGAAAAGGCAAAGCAGCAGUCAGACUGCAGUGAUUAAUGCUGCAAGAAACUUGACAGGUUUCAAUGUUCAAGGAAAGACUACUAGGACUUGGACAAGCUCAGAAGUCCCUCUCCUUCCAUAUGCUCAAUGGGUUUUUCGGGCGAGACACAUCAGCAAAUUGCUCUAUUGGCUUCAGCUUUUAUCAGCUUCAGCUUGUAUUUCUCUUUCAUUGAUGAAGCUCAUCAAGCACAAUUAUGGUGAUGUGGAGAAAGGAGACACUGACAAGAGGAACCGGCAAGCUGCUCUGAGUGUUUUCUACUCCUUGGCCUUGGCAGAAGCUUUGCUGUUUCUGCUGGAGAAGUCUUACUGUGAGUACAAGGUGAGCUACUGUAAACUUUUGGAAGAGGUGAACAAGGAGUGUGAGUUAGGCCCUUCAGGUUUGGUUUCGAUUAGGAGGUUCUUCUAUGAUGCCUAUUCAAGAUGUGUCAAUGGAAGCAUUUUUGAUGGCUUAAAGAUGGAUAUGGUGUCUUUUGGCAUGGACCUAUUGGGUUCAAAUUCCACAGAUGAGCAGCUCAUUGGGGCUAAAAUUCUUUGCCAAUUCGCUAUGAGCCCCCGGUAUUCAGAUGACACCUUACAGAAGAUAGGAAUAAAUUUAUCAGUUAUAGAGCGAUUGGUUGAGAUACUGAAUUGGACUGAUCCAGAUGAAGAAGUGAUUAGACAAUCGGCUGCGGAAAUACUGUCAAAACUGGCUGGCAAGAAGCAGAACUCUAUCCGAGUUGCUGGAAUUCCUGGUGCAAUGGAAUCAAUUUCAUCUCUGCUUCAAACCAGCCGAAGCUCCAGUGGUGCAUGUGAUGAAAUUAGUGAAAAGGAAACACAUUCCGAUCAUGCUAACUAUGGUUUGUGGACAUUCAACCAUUUAGGCCUGCUUAUUUUGAAGAAACUUGCGCGUGAUCACGAUAACUCAGGCAAGAUUGGAAACACAAGAGGCCUCCUGCCAAAGAUCAUAGAUUUCACACAUGCUGAGGAGGUGUUGCUCCAGGCAGAAAAUGUUACACCAACUAAGCUACUGACGCUGAAGCGAUCAUUGCAAUUGGUGAAGAGGCUUGUGAGCACAACAGGCAACACAGGAAAGAAUCUCCGGAGAGAGAUUUCGGAGAUAAUUUUCACAAUCAGCAAUAUCAGAGAUAUCUUGAGGCAUGGUGAGAAGCAUCCAAACCUGCAAUUAUUGGGCAUUGAGAUCUUAUCUAGUUUAGCACUGGAGCAGGAAGCAACAGAGAUAAUAGGGGGAACAGGUGGAGUGCUUAAGGAGUUGUUCAACAUUUUCCUUAAGAGGGAAAGGGAAAGGGAGGAAAUUGUAGUCACUAAUAAAGAGGUUAUAAAUAGAGCUGGAGAAGCUCUAGCAAUGCUGGUAUUGGAAAGCAAGAACAACUGUCAUCGUAUCUUGAAGUUGCGAGUAGUAGAUAGCCUUGUAGUAGCUCUUGAUUCUCCAUUGAUUCGCAUCAAUGCUGCUAGAAUCUUGAGGAACUUGUGCACAUACAGUGGCACAAACUGUUUCAACCAGCUUAAGGGAAUUGCAAAUGGAGCACCUACAGUGCUCAAAAAAAUCAUGUCAGAAGAGCACAAACUAAAGGAAGUAAUGGUUGGACUAGCUCCACAUGUUUUAUCAUUCUUGUCUCCCGAAGAAUCAAGCCUUGUGUUUGAGAGAGCUGGAGUUACGGAGGCAGAAGUAGCUUACGAAUUAGUUGAGAGUCUGAGGAAGUAUAGACACCCGCGAAUUAAAGUUCCAAGAAUGAGGAGGUUUGCCAUAGAGCUGGCAAUUUGGAUGAUGAAAGACAAACAUAAAAAUCUUCAAAUAUUCAAGGAAUUGGGGAUGGAAAAGGAGCUCGAACAUGUGCUGGAGACCACAGCCGAGAUAGAAAGUUUCAACAUUUUCUCUGGUACUGUGGGAAUGAGCAGGCACAACACUACAAUUCAUUCAUUGGUAGAAACUGCUUUAGAGUUAUUAAGUGCUGAAUGAUGGGAAAGCUAGACCUUCAUGGAUUUAUCAGUAACAUGGUGGAGAUGAAGUGAUCAUGUAUAUAUGUUUGGCCUAAAAUUUGAACAAAUUCUUUUUCUUUACAAGUUAUAAUGUAACUAAAUUCUUU